rnacentral:rRNA from 1 species
GACGAACGCUGGCGGCGUGCUUAACACAUGCAAGUCGAACGAUGAAGCUGGAGCUUGCUCCAGUGGAUUAGUGGCGAACGGGUGAGUAACACGUGAGCAAUCUGCCCUUGACUCUGGGAUAACUGCGGGAAACUGUAGCUAAUACCGGAUACGACACCUUGGGGCAUCCCAGGGUGUGGAAAGAAUUUCGGUCAAGGAUGAGCUCGCGGCCUAUCAGCUAGUUGGUGAGGUAAUGGCUCACCAAGGCGACGACGGGUAGCCGGCCUGAGAGGGUGACCGGCCACACUGGAACUGAGACACGGUCCAGACUCCUACGGGAGGCAGCAGUGGGGAAUAUUGCACAAUGGGCGAAAGCCUGAUGCAGCAACGCCGCGUGAGGGAUGAAGGCCUUCGGGUUGUAAACCUCUUUUAGCAGGGAAGAAGCGAAAGUGACGGUACCUGCAGAAAAAGCACCGGCUAACUACGUGCCAGCAGCCGCAGUAA